rnacentral:tRNA from 1 species
GCCUUCGUGGUGUAGUGGUCAGCACGCUCGGCGCGUUAAGGAGACGGUCGUGGUUCGAAUUCCGACGAGGGCA